UACUUAUCUCCGUACGAUCAUCGAAGUUAAGCAACGUCGAGCCUGGUAAGUGCCUAGAUGGGUGUCCGCUUGGGAAUACCAGGUGCUGUAAG